AAUCUGAAUCACCAGGGCAGUCAAGAAGGAGGACUCCAAAAUGGCCCUUGCCGUGAACUACCAGUGUCCUUGGCGUAGAACAGGCUCCAAAAAUGGUUACCUCCAGCAGGCAGCUGCAUAUGUUGGCGUGAUUGAUGAGAGCCGCCACAGUCAAGCAAGCAGCCCUGGGCGACCAGUUUACCCUUCCCUGCUAGGGUUUCAACUGCCAGUUGCCUCCAUUCUGUGACAGCUUCUCCUUCUCCUCACCUUGUCAUCAAGCCAAGAUUGUACACUCUAGGAGUACAGGUAGUUGCUGUUACUCCUAGUUUGUGGAUAAAGAAAGUGAGGCACAGUACACAACUGACUCUCUCAAAUCACAGAGCUUAUGGGAGGUAAAGAAUUUCAAUACCAGUUCUCAAGUGCUAUUCUCUAUUCUUAUUAAAACAUUACUUUUCUACCCUCCUUACAGGUAGAGCGAUGACUCCAUCAAUCAAAUACACCCACCAUGGAUUUUCACUUGUGAAUUUAUAAUAAAGAGAAAGAUGAUUGUAAUCAA